UGGGGAAUAUUGGACAAUGGGGGCAACCCUGAUCCAGCAAUGCCGCGUGUGUGAAGAAGGCCUUCGGGUUGUAAAGCACUUUAGGGGGGGAAGAAGGUACGUAGUUUAAGAGAUGACGUAUUUGACGGUACCCUCAGAAUAAGCACCGGCUAACUCUGUGCCAGCAGCCGCGGUAAUACAGAGGGUGCAAGCGUUAAUCGGAUUUACUGGGCGUAAAGGGCGCGUAGGUGGUUAUUUAAGUGAGAUGUGAAAGCCCCGGGCUUAACCUGGGAACUGCAUCUUAUACUGGGUAGCUUGAGUACAUUAGAGGGCAGUGGAAUUUCCGGUGUAGCGGUGAAAUGCGUAGAUAUCGGAAGGAACACCAGUGGCGAAGGCGGCUGCCUGGAAUGAUACUGACACUGAGGCGCGAAAGCGUGGGUAGCAAACAG
rnacentral:rRNA from 1 species